GACGAACGCUGGCGGCGUGCCUAAUACAUGCAAGUCGAACGCUUCUUUCCUCCCGAGUGCUUGCACUCAAUUGGAAAGAGGAGUGGCGGACGGGUGAGUAACACGUGGGUAACCUGCCCAAGAGACUGGGAUAACACCUGGAAACAGAUGCUAAUACCGGAUAACAACACUAGACGCAUGUCUAGAGUUUGAAAGAUGGUUCUGCUAUCACUCUUGGAUGGACCUGCGGUGCAUUAGCUAGUUGGUAAGGUAACGGCUUACCAAGGCAAUGAUGCAUAGCCGAGUUGAGAGACUGAUCGGCCACAUUGGGACUGAGACACGGCCCAA
rnacentral:rRNA from 1 species